UUUAGGUUCAAUGUAAACACGACACUGAAUGUGGAACAAAUGAAUGUUGUUACUAUCAUGAAGGGUUGAUGGUAAUGAGUAAAAGACAGACGUAUGUCCCUAUUCCUGUAAUGGCUCAACUAGGUAACGUUUCGUAAAGGCACAUGUUUUUCUUGAAAGGAACUGUUGUUAGUGGUUCAAUUUAAACACAAACGUUUUUUUUUAACUCAUAAUAGAUACCAGGAUUAAAAUUGUGUACGUAGACGCGCGUCUACUAAAGACCUGUCAGUGACACUAAAAUGAAAAAAGUUAAGGCCAAAUAAAGUACGAAGUUAAAGAACGUUGCUAACCGAAAAUACCGAAUUGUUUUUUCAGCUAUAAAGUUAAUCUAAUCCUGGAUUCAACAUCCUUAGUAUAAAAAAGAAUGAUGAACAAUGAUGACAUUAGCAAGUGAACUGGGGUAUGAAGAGAAAUAAAGUGUAACAAAGGAAUAAUACGGUUAGCAUUCCUCAUGUCCAUUGAGGUAAUUUAUUAACAUAUGUAGUAACUGUGUACACAAAAUUGUAUAUGAAAAUUCAUGUAAGAUCUAUAGUGCCUAACAAGAUUUUGUGAGGUAGACGAAAUUGACUUUAAAACGAUCGUAUUGACUUUUGAUGUGCAGAAAUAGGCAGAUCGGACAUAUUUUGACUUUAGUUACUUACUUCUUAAGUUUGGGAUUAAUUGUAAUCAACAUAUUCCAAUGAGACUGAAAAAUGUUUUUUUUAUUAUGAUUAAUAAUAAUUUUACCUGCCGUAGUCGUGCGUAAAAUAUAUUUCGGUAUUUCUCUUACGAAAAUGACUUGUUUAAUGGAACAAAACGUAUUAUUUGUAACCUUCUCUUUACUCUUCACAAUAGGCUUUUUAAAAAAAACCUUUCAACUGUAUAUUCCGAAAAUUUUGUGAAAAUCGAAUAAGUGGCAAUUCUUACCUUUUCAUACCUUAACUUUCAUUGAUAAACAUAAUAUUGACUCGUCCAGUGUCCAGUUUGAAGGUCAUUUUAGUUACCGUACACAUUCAUGCACGUUCUAAUUAAUCAAUAGUCAUAUAUGAAAAGCAUAAACAAGUUUGAAGGUAAACUAAUAACAACUUAAUCCAAUCAAAUUGCCUACGAUUCAAUAACAAUGACCAGUCCACAUCAUAAAAAUGUAUAGGGGUAAACUGGGUAGGGAGAAAAUGUCAGAUAUAUUAAGUUCAUUAUUUUGCAAUAACGAGUAAAAAUUUGUUAACCAAUAGAUUUGUUAUAAUUUCAUAAACAUUUCGUUAUAUAUUGGUAUAGUUUUUGGAUCUUUCAUUAGCGUAUUUAAGGCUGUAGAAAGUUUGGCCUUCAAAAGUCAACAUAAUCAUUGACUUUAUAAAGAAAAUUCGCCUUUUCAAAACAUUGAAUGUUUCACAAAUAAUACGCGACAACAAGGCAAAAUCAUUUCUUAAAACACUGCAAAAAAAUAAUUCUGAUUGAUGCAGUGGUAUUGUCAUUAAUUGCACUGGAGUGAACAGUGGUACAUCAAACGUCGAAUUCCCUCACACAAUGUUAUCACACACUAUAACAACAUUCCUUUUAACAACCUUUUAACAACCGGAUAAUUCUUUCCUUUGUUUGAUUGAAUUAAUACUUCCUGAAGUUUGUUUACAAUUGACUUUGAUGUAAUUCAGUCAAAUGUGUUAGAUUAUUUGUGUUGUCUGUAUGUCGGAUAUUGCAUUUUCCUUUUGAUAUUUUUUAAUUUGAAGUUGUAACCUACUUUUAGUACAAACAUAUUGUGCAUGGACCUCGUUUGCAAAGAAAAAGUUUAUUUUAGACAGUUUUUAUGUGGUUUGUUUCGGUCCUUUUAGUGUUAUUUUCAGGAUUUAAAUUCUAAAAUUUGAUCAAGAGGGAUACCAGACUUCAGGAAUUAUUUACUACGGGUUUUUAGCGAGAAUAUCUAUAAUAUUAAAAAAAAAAAGAAAAAAAGCCUUAAAAAGUACUUUGAUUAGAUAAAUAAGUAUAUAUUGUAGCAUGUAUAAUGAUUGCAAAUGAAAUAACUAUCAAUUAAAACCAAAUAAGGUGAAGUAGACACAUAUAUAUUAGCGUACAGCCUUCGGCAUUGAGUAAAAUCCAUGGAUUAGUCAGCUGUACUAUAUAGGCCCAAACAUGAAAAAUGUGGAGAAAACAACACGUUACAUCAUAGAACAAAACCAAUACGUUAAAUUUAUAAGUAUAGAUUGGUCAGCUAUACUAAAUGGCCCUAAUAUGACUAAAGAGGGAGAACAAAAAAAUAAACGAUAAACAUCGUUUUAGGUGGAUGGUGUGAAAAGUAUCAACCUUAGGGUGAAUAUUGGAGCGGCAUAGCUAAAAUGAAUAGGCAUUGUGGAUGUGCGCCUGAAC
rnacentral:lncRNA from 1 species